rnacentral:misc_RNA from 1 species
GAUGAAGAACGUAGCGAAAUGCGAUAAGUAAUGCGAAUUGCAGAAUUUCCGUGAGUCAUCGAAUCUUUGAACGCACAUUGCGCCCACUGGUAUUCCGGUGGGCAUGCCUGUUCGAGCGUCAUUAUCCUCCCUCAAACCCCGGGUUUGGUGUUGGACCGAAGUUGUGUGAACAACUGGUCUAAAAAACAAUGACGGCGUCCGUGGGACCCUCGGUGCAACGAGCUUUUAGGAGCACGCGCCGAGUUGCAAGGACCUUCCGGGCCGGUCUCCUUUUACUAUUUUACAAGGUUGACCUCGGAUCAGGUAGGAAUACCCGCUGAACUUAAGCAUACAAUAAGCGGAGGA